rnacentral:tRNA from 2 species
GCCCUUAUAGCUCAGUGGUAGAGCGUUUCACUCGUAUCACGUGAUUCAGAAUCACUAUCGUCGAAAUGAAGAGGUCCAUCGUUCAAUCCGGUGUGAGGGCA